GACGAACGCUGGCGGCGUGCCUAAUACAUGCAAGUAGAACGCUGAAGAGAGGAGCUUGCUCUUCUUGGAUGAGUUGCGAACGGGUGAGUAACGCGUAGGUAACCUGCCUUGUAGCGGGGGAUAACUAUUGGAAACGAUAGCUAAUACCGCAUAACAAUGGAUGACCCAUGUCAUUUAUUUGAAAGGGGCAAAUGCUCCACUACAAGAUGGACCUGCGUUGUAUUAGCUAGUAGGUGAGGUAACGGCUCACCUAGGCGACGAUACAUAGCCGACCUGAGAGGGUGAUCGGCCACACUAGGACUGAGACACGGCCCAGACUCCUACGGGAGGCAGCAGUAGGGAAUCUUCGGCAAUGGGGGCAACCCUGACCGAGCAACGCCGCGUGAGUGAAGAAGGUUUUCGGAUCGUAAAGCUCUGUUGUAAGUCAAGAACGAGUGUGAGAGUGGAAAGUUCACACUGUGACGGUAGCUUACCAGAAAGGGACGGCUAACUACGUGCCAGCAGCCGCGGUAAUACGUAGGUCCCGAGCGUUGUCCGGAUUUAUUGGGCGUAAAGCGAGCGCAGGCGGUUUGAUAAGUCUGAAGUUAAAGGCUGUGGCUCAACCAUAGUUCGCUUUGGAAACUGUCAAACUUGAGUGCAGAAGGGGAGAGUGGAAUUCCAUGUGUAGCGGUGAAAUGCGUAGAUAUAUGGAGGAACACCGGUGGCGAAAGCGGCUCUCUGGUCUGUAACUGACGCUGAGGCUCGAAAGCGUGGGGAGCGAACAGG
rnacentral:rRNA from 1 species